ACCUGAGUGGCUCAAUGGUCGAGCAUCUGCUUUUGGCUCAGAUCAUGAUCCUAGAGUCCUGGGAUUGAGUCCCACAUCAGGUU
rnacentral:tRNA from 1 species